rnacentral:rRNA from 1 species
GAUGAACGCUGGCGGCGUGCCUAAUACAUGCAAGUCGAGCGAACAGAUGAGGAGCUUGCUCCUCUGACGUUAGCGGCGGACGGGUGAGUAACACGUGGAUAACCUACCUAUAAGACUGGGAUAACUUCGGGAAACCGGAGCUAAUACCGGAUAAUAUAUUGAACCGCAUGGUUCAAUAGUGAAAGACGGUUUUGCUGUCACUUAUAGAUGGAUCCGCGCCGCAUUAGCUAGUUGGUAAGGUAACGGCUUACCAAGGCAACGAUGCGUAGCCGACCUGAGAGGGUGAUCGGCCACACUGGAACUGAGACACGGUCCAGACUCCUACGGGAGGCAGCAGUAGGGAAUCUUCCGCAAUGGGCGAAAGCCUGACGGAGCAACGCCGCGUGAGUGAUGAAGGUCUUCGGAUCGUAAAACUCUGUUAUUAGGGAAGAACAAAUGUGUAAGUAACUAUGCACGUCUUGACGGUGCCUAAUCAGAAAGCCACGGCUAACUACGUG